UACGUAGGGGGCUAGCGUUGUCCGGAAUCAUUGGGCGUAAAGCGCGUGUAGGCGGUCCGGUAAGUCCGCUGUGAAAGUCGGGGGCUCAACCCUCGAAUGCCGGUGGAUACUGUCGGGCUAGAGUGCGGAAGAGGCGAGUGGAAUUCCUGGUGUAGCGGUGAAAUGCGCAGAUAUCAGGAGGAACACCAGCGGCGAAGGCGGCGCUCUGGGCCGGAACUGACGCUGAGGAGCGAAAGCGUGGGUAGCAAACAGG
rnacentral:rRNA from 1 species